rnacentral:rRNA from 1 species
UCACCAGACUCCUACGGGAGGCAGCAGUGGGGAAUAUUGCACAAUGGGGAAACCCUGAUGCAGCGACGCCGCGUGAGUGAAGAAGUCUUUCGGUAUGUAAAGCUCUAUCAGCAGGGAAGAAAAUGACGGUACCUGACUAAGAAGCCCCGGCUAACUACGUGCCAGCAGCCGCGGUAAUACGUAGGGGGCAAGCGUUAUCCGGAUUCACUGGGUGUAAAGGGAGCGUAGACGGCCAUGCAAGCCAGGGGUGAAAGCCCGGGGCCCAACCCCGGGACUGCCCUUGGAACUGCAUGGCUGGAGUGCGGGAGGGGCAGGCGGAAUUCCUGGUGUAGCGGUGAAAUGCGUAGAUAUCAGGAGGAACACCGGCGGCGAAGGCGGCCUGCUGGACCGCGACUGACGUUGAGGCUCGAAAGCGUGGGGAGCGAACAGGAUUAGAUACCCUCGUAA